GAUGAAGAACGCAGCGAAAUGCGAUAAGUAAUGUGAAUUGCACAAUUCAGUGAAUCAUCGAAUCUUUGAACGCACCUUGCGCUCUUUGGUAUUCCGAAGAGCAUGCCUGUUUGAGUGUCAUGAAAAUAUCAACCUUGACUUGGGUUUUGUGCUCUAGUCUCGGCUUGGAAUUGGGUGCUUGCCGCUUUUACGAGCGGCUCACCUUAAAUGUAUUAGCUGGAUCUGUCUUUGAGACUUGGUUUGACUUGGCGUAAUAAGUAUUUCGCUAAGGACAUUCUUCGGAGUGGCCUCGUUUCUAGGACGCUUGUCCGCUUUCCAAUACAAGUUCCACCUCGUGGACAUGACUUUUUAUUAUCUGGCCUCAAAUCAGGUAGGACUACCCGCUGAACUUAAGCAUAUCAAUAAGCGGAGGA
rnacentral:misc_RNA from 1 species